CGGCCAUUGUCAACGCCACUGACACCAAGAACCGGACCCCCUGCAUGCGGCGGCUUUCACGGACCACGUGGAGUGUCUUCAGCUGCUGCUAGGCCACAACGCCCAGGUCAACUCCCCCGAUGCCUCCGGGAAGACCUCCCUCAUGAUGGCUGCUGAGAACGGACAAACCAACGCUGUCGAGCUGUUGGUGAGCAGUGCCAAAGCAGAGCUCACCCUGCAGGAUGCUCAAGU